GGGAAUAUUGGGCAAUGGGCGCAAGCCUGACCCAGCAACGCCGCGUGAAGGAAGAAGGCCCUCGGGUUGUAAACUUCUUUUAUUCGGGACGAAACAAAUGACGGUACCGAAUGAAUAAGCCACGGCUAACUACGUGCCAGCAGCCGCGGUAAUACGUAGGUGGCAAGCGUUAUCCGGAUUUACUGGGUGUAAAGGGCGUGUAGGCGGGAGAGCAAGUCAGACGUGAAAUUCCAGGGCUCAACCCUGGAACUGCGUUUGAAACUGUUCUUCUUGAGUGAUGGAGAGGCAGGCGGAAUUCCGUGUGUAGCGGUGAAAUGCGUAGAUAUACGGAGGAACACCAGUGGCGAAGGCGGCCUGCUGGACAUUAACUGACGCUGAGGCGCGAAAGCGUGGGGAGCAAAC
rnacentral:rRNA from 1 species